rnacentral:rRNA from 1 species
AUAUCAAUAAGCGGAGGAAAAGAAACUAACAAGGAUUCCCCUAGUAACUGCGAGUGAAGAGGGAAGAGCUCAAAUUUAAAAUCUGGCUGUCUCUGGCAGUCCGAGUUGUAGUUUAGAGAAGUGUUAUCCGCGCUGGCCUGUGCAUAAGUUUCUUGGAAAAGAACAUCAUAGAGGGUGACAAUCCCGUCUUUGGCACAGAUAACCGGGGCUUUUGUGAUACGCUCUCGACGAGUCGCGUUGUUUGGGAAUGCAGCGCUAAAUGGGUGGUAAAUUCCAUCUAAAGCUAAAUAUUGGCGAGAGACCGAUAGCGAACAAGUACCGUGAGGGAAAGAUGAAAAGAACUUUGAAAAGAGAGUUAAACAGUAC